rnacentral:lncRNA from 1 species
UUUUAUAAAGCGCCCUCUUGUGGUUUGAGUGAGAAUGGCCGGGGCUCUUAGGUUGGAAUACUUGGUCUCUAGUUGGUAGUCGCAAAUAACAUUGCUAUCAAGGCAUCACUAGGAUUCAUUUGUUUCUUGCUUUCCUUAAAAAAUAUUUUAGAUUUAUGCCUGUGAGUGUUUUGCUUGCAUCUAUUAUGGGUACCCUGUGUGUGCAGUGCCAGAAGAGGGCGUCAGAGCCUCUGCACCUGGAGUUAAAGAUGGUUGUGAACUACCAUGUGGAUGCUGGAAGCUAGACCUAGACCCUGUUGACUGACCCUUGGACUGGGUCACUCUGGCAUUGGUUUGCCUUGUCUCACGUUGCUGAUCUUCACUUGUGACAUCGAAAGUAACUCUUCAAAGAACUUCUCAUGAUAUUCUGGUUACUUCUCCAGACUUUGGCCCAUUAGCAGAGCCUCACAGCUUCUUCUGGAUCAAACUGCCAUUGUUGAUUCGUGAGUGGUGAUUGCUGAGUGGACUGGAAUAAUGACAACAAAGAUUAGAGUAGCCCCAAAGAACUAUUUCUAAACAGGUCCACAACUCUGUUUUCUACUAACAUUUCUAUUUCACUACCUCUGGUGGAUGGAGGGCUAGAAGAGAGGUUGAAGUGUUUAAGAACCCUUACUAAAAUGGGUUUUGGAAAAAUCUAAGUCUACAGCAUAGAGUUUUAUCAUGUUACGAUUUAAAGUGACUAAUGCAGAGAGAGAUACCCGGUUGGUUCACACAUUUGUGCACACUGAAAAACUUGUCUCUACCCACACAGAAACAUCACUCCCUUUAGACCACAACUCCCAUUGCUGCUCUAGGUGUCUCAUGUAAAUGAUAUCACUAAUAUUUGUCUUUGUAAUGUUGUGGUUUAUUCCCUUAGCAUAACUUUGCAUGACAACCUCAAGGCUUAUAGACCUUAUGGCUCAUGUGUUGGGAUUUUCCUUGGAGAGAUGAUUUUCAUAGAGUUUUAGUUCAUGCUCAUGGAUGAGUGCCUUCCUUAGCCAGCAUCAGAGAUGCUUCCUCCUGCAGCAGACGGGAACGCAAACAGCCCACAGUCAGACAUUAAACCUUGGAGUACUCAGCUUUAAAUGGGAGGUCUUCAUCAAACUCCUCCUGUCAGUGCUCAGUGAACCCCUUAGAAGAAGGGGUGCAAAGACUGGAAGAACCAGAGGGGAUGGAGGACACCAAGAAGAUGAGACCCUCUAAAUCAACUGAGCAAGGUGCAUGUGAGCUGAGACUAAUGCACCAAGCACAGGGCCAGCGUUAAUCUGCACUGGUCCCAGGCAGAUAUAUUAUGGCUUUUAGUGUAGUAUUUUUAUGGGAUUCCUGAGUGUGGGUACAAGCGGGUCUCUGAUUCUUGUGCCUUCUCUUGGGCUCUUUUCUUCCUGUUGGUUUGCAUUGUCCAAUUUCAACGUGAUAGUUUUUGUUUUAUCUCUUUUUUUGGAGAGGAAAGAGUUUAUUGGGUUUACACUUCCCCAUUGUAGUCCAACACUGAAGGAAGCCAGGACAAGAAUUCAAAGGGGAUGGAAACCUGGAGGCAGGAGCUGAUGUAGAAGCCCCCAUGAGUGCUGGCCCAACCUACUUUUCUCCCCCCCUUUAUUGGAUGUUUUCUUUAUUUAUCUUUCAAAUGUUUUCCUCUUUCCAGGUCUCCCCUUUGGAAGCCCCCUAUUCCCUCUUCUCCAACCCUGGACUCUACUAGGAUGCUAAUCCACCCACCCACCCACUUCUGCCUUUCAGUCCAGGCAUUCCCUUGCACUGGGGCAUUGAACCCCUUCAGGCCCAAAGGCUACUCCUCCCACUGAUGUCCAACAAGGCCAUCCUCUGCCACAUAUGUUGCUGCACCCAUGGGUCUCUUCAUGUGUGCUCUUUGGUUGGUGGUCCAGUCCCUGGGAGCUCCGGGAGAUCUGGCUGUUGACACUGUUGCUCCCCCUCCCCCAUGGGGCUGCAAACCCCCUCAGCUCCUUCAGUCCCUUCUCCAACUCCUCCAUCUGGGAGCCCAUGUUCAGUCCAAUGGCUGGAUGCGAGCAUCCACCUCUGUAUUUGUCAGGCUCUGGCAGAGCCUCUCAGGAGAUAGCCAUAUCAUGUUAUACACACACACACACACACACACACACACACACACACACAUAUAUAUAAAGGAAGAGUCUUACUUCUUUGCUUACCUUCUUAAAAUCUUCAAACAAUUCUUCAACAAUAUUAUUAAAAGAUAUUUAAAGUAUGUAUCCAAUAGCUCUGUUGUAUCUCCUUUUCUUUUGUAUUAUACUUUAUUUAUUUUGUAUGUACAUGUGUGUGUGCAUGUGUGCAUGCACGUGCACAUAUGCCAUGGCACAUGGAGGUGAGAAGACAAUGUGCACGAUGGGCUCCCUCCCUUCGUGUGUGUCCUAGGGGUUGAACUCAGGUCCCCAGGCUUGGCGACAGGCACUUCUACCCACUGAACUGUCUUGUUGGCCCUUAUUUUCUUUCUUGUGUGUCUUGCCUGAACCUAUUGGUGUGGAAAAAAAAAAGAAUAAAAUUGAUAUUACAAAGCACUUAAUAGCAGAUUUCUUAGGAGACAAAGUCACACGAGGAGCAUUGCCUACAAAAUAACCAGGCUUGUUAGAGAUAAGUCGGAUUCAGGAUGCUAGGAUGUAACAGUUUAUUCAUCAGUUCUGACCCACCAUUAGAUAGCAUUGCCAUGGCAAAGGAGAUGGUGGGCAAUGACUUAAGAUUCCCUUACCUGGGGGGGG